rnacentral:rRNA from 1 species
GACGAACGCUGGCGGCGUGCCUAAUACAUGCAAGUCGAGCGGACGGACGCGACGCUUGCUUCUUUGAUGUUAGCGGCGGACGGGUGAGUCACACGUGGAUACCCCACCUAUAAUACUGAUAUAACUUCGGGACACCGUCUCAUACCCCGGAUAAUAUUUUGCUCCGCAUUGUUCAAAAGUGAAAGACGGUCUUGCUGUCACUUAUCGAUGGAUCUGCGCUGCUUUAGCUAGUUGGUGAGGUCACGGCUUACCAAGGCAACGAUGCAUAGCCGACCUGAGAGGGUGGUCAGCCAGACUGGAACUGAGACACGGUACAGAGUCCUACGGGAGGCAGCAGUAGGGAAUCUGGCGGAAGGAGCGAAAGCCUGACGGAGAAGCGGCGCGUGAGUGAUGGAGGUCUUCGGAUCGUAAAGCUCGGUUAUGAGGGAAGAACAUAUGUGGAAGUAACUGUGCACAGCGUGACGGUACCUAAUCAGAAAGCCACGGCUAACUACGUG